UAGGCAAGAAAUCCUGGUUGGAACUAAUGUUUGCAUCAGGAAAACAACACAGCUUUCCUGUAAGAAGCCUCAGAAGAUGUAGCACACAGACACUCUGACCUGCUUAUCACACAAGACAGCUGACUUUCAUCUUUCAAGGAGGUUAUGAUGAUCUACCAGAUUACACUCUGGCAUCAAAUUGGAACAUGAAGCUUCACAUCUACAUGGC
rnacentral:lncRNA from 1 species